rnacentral:rRNA from 1 species
GAUGAACGCUGGCGGCGUGCCUAAUACAUGCAAGUCGAGCGAACAGACGAGGAGCUUGCUCCUCUGACGUUAGCGGCGGACGGGUGAGUAACACGUGGAUAACCUACCUAUAAGACUGGGAUAACUUCGGGAAACCGGAGCUAAUACCGGAUAAUAUAUUGAACCGCAUGGUUCAAUAGUGAAAGACGGUUUUGCUGUCACUUAUAGAUGGAUCCGCGCCGCAUUAGCUAGUUGGUAAGGUAACGGCUUACCAAGGCAACGAUGCGUAGCCGACCUGAGAGGGUUAUCGGCCACACUGGAACUGAGACACGGUCCAGACUCCUACGGGAGGCAGCAGUAGGGAAUCUUCCGCAAAGGGCGAAAGCCUGACGGAGCAACGCCGCGUGAGUGAUGAAGGUCUUCGGAUCGUAAAACUCUGUUAUUAGGGAAGAACAAAUGUGUAAGUAACUAUGCACGUCUUGACGGUACCUAAUCAGAAAGCCACGGCUAACUACGUG